rnacentral:lncRNA from 11 species
AACAGCCAGCUCCCUGCUGUCACACCUUGGUGCAAUGAGGAAAAGCAAAAGGAGUGGAGCGGGCUGGCUCCAUCAAUCUGAAGCAUCUCACUCAUCUGAACUAAAUAACUCCAUCAUAAAAACUGUUUUCCUGAGUUUAAGAACAAGGAAAAGAGAUGAAGUCCCCUCUGUGUACACAUGCAUAUGUCAACAAGCAGAGUAAACUAAAGCAGCACUGUAGAAGAAAUCAGGUUUACCAUGGAAAAGAAAAACAAGAAAAAAAGAAAUGUGCUGAACAAAUCCC